rnacentral:rRNA from 1 species
ACUCUGGAAUGGCCUUUGAGACUAGAGGACUUGGGUACGGGAGAGGUGAGUGGAAUUCCGAGUGUAGAGGUGAAAUUCGUAGAUAUUCGGAAGAACACCAGUGGCGAAGGCGGCUCACUGGCCCGUUACCGACGCUCAGGCGCGACAGCGUGGGGAGCAAACAGGAUUAGAUACCCUGGUAGUCCACGCCGUAAACGAUGGAUGCUAGCCGUUGGCAAGCAUGCUUGUCAGUGGCGCAGCUAACGCAUUAAGCAUCCCGCCUGGGGAGUACGGCCGCAGGGUUGAAACUCAAAGGAAUUGACGGGGGCCCGCACAAGCGGUGGAGCAUGUGGUUUAAUUCGACGCAACGCGCAGAACCUUACCAGGCCUUGACAUCCCGUGCUACGCUCAGAAAUGGGCGGUCCCCGCAAGGGG